UGGGUAUGUAGCUUAGUGGAUGAGAGUCUAUGGCUACGAACCAUAAGGUCGGGGGUUCGAGUCCCUCCAUACCCAUC
rnacentral:tRNA from 1 species